GACGAACGCUGGCGGCGUGGAUUAGGCAUGCAAGUCGAACGGUAUCAUCCUUUCGGGGGUGAGAGAGUGGCGAACUGGUGAGUAACACGUAGGUUAUCUACCCUCAAGACGGGGACAACCCAGGGAAACUUGGGCUAAUACCGGAUGUGAGCAACUUUUAGUUGUUUGAAAGGUGGCGUAAGCUGUCGCUUGGGGAUGAGCCUGCGUCCUAUUAGUUAGUUGGUGAGGUAACGGCUCACCUAGGCAAUGAUAGGUAGGCGGCCUUAACGGGUGGUCGCCCACACUGGGAUUGAGAUACGGCCCAGACUCCUACGGGAGGCAGCAGUCGAGAAUAGUCUACAAUGGUCGGAAGACUGAUAGUGCGACGCCGCGUGAACGAUGAAUCCCUUCGGGGUGUAAAGUUCUUUUAUAUGUGAGCAGUGCUUCUUAUAUUAACAGUAUGGGGAGAGAGAUAUUAGCAUAUGAAUAAGCAACGGCUAACUCCGUGCCAGCAGCCGACGGUAAACUCGU
rnacentral:rRNA from 1 species